AAAGCCAAUGGAAAAUUCAGGAAAAAGUGACCAACACUUUUUAUUAUAUUUCAAAUUUGAAUUCCACAACAAACACCAGAAACACUUGUUUUCUUCGAAACUCCAGAAUAACCAGCCUCAUUUGUUCAGAGACUAAAAUACCAGAUGAACUCGAAUUCAAUAAAGUACUCAAACAAAGCUGAAGUCAAUGAACGAAAAAGAAUAUAAAGAAAAAAAAUAGGCUCAUAAAUCAGAAGAAAUCAAAUUUAACAAAUUUAAAAACAUGCUGCAAUUAAUGAACAAGAAAAAGGAAUUUAACGCAAAAGUAUGUAAUAUCUAACAAUUCAAAGAUGUAAUCAUUUAUAUAAGUCUUCCAGAGAUAACAUGUACCCUUACACUAUAGUAUUCCACAAUUUUUUGUUCUCCUCCUUCCAUUUUAAAUUCUUGCAUUUCAAUAUCGUGGAUGAUUAAUUUUACCCUGUAAGAAGUGAAUUCGAACUGUAAAACUGGAAUAACCAAUGAAAUAAGUUUCCAUAUAUCAAAACUACACUGUAAAGAUGAUCGUAUUAGAAAGUUGCGACAUACAUUUACCACACAUAAAAUAAAAAGAUCUUGACUUGACGAAGCCCUCCGUGUAAGCUACUCCUCAACCCCUCGAUUUUUAACUAAUGGCUAAAAGAAUCGUUCAGUAACAGUAGGGUAAUGCUCACAAUGUGAAGUUCUAAAACUUCCAAAGAAAAAAUAUGUAGAAGAAGAAAUGAAAUGAGGUAAGCUUUUAGGAAAAUAUAGAAGUAUAAUGUACAAAUUAUCCUUUAAAAUGGCACCGCCCAAACCAGCAAAGCCCUUAAGUAUUCCCACAAGGGGACCUCGGCUUUUGGGGAAGUUUUGGACACAGGAAACGAGGGACGCUGUGUUGAAGUAUGUCUCGCCGUUCGUACCAACGAAGAUAAGGAUGCACAUCUGCCAGUAAAAGCGAUAAUCAUGUUUCGUUUUUUGUACAAGGCUUCAAAUAUCGUAUUACACGUUGUGAUUGCAGAUUGAAUGAAACAUCUGACCUUUGAUGAGAACAAUGGCAAAAACUAAAAAUCAAAUGUCUGAAAUCUUCUACAAUCCUAAAGAUGUGAUCUUUAAGGUAAAUUCAGCAGAUCAUAUUCAUCACAUAUAGAAAAAUAAAAAUAAAAAUUCCCAGAUCAAUAAUCACCAAUUAAUCAGCAAUCCCUGAAUAAUAAUAUUAAUAAUAAUAAUAUGCAUAUCUCUGGAUACAUCAUAUACAUUGACCAAAAGUAGUUGCAGACCAAUGAAUAAAAAAAAGGGUAAAAAAAUGAAGAAUAAAAAGAAAGAAAGAAAGAAUGGCACCCCAGGGGGAGGUGACGACAAGCCAAACCCAGCCAUAACCAACAAAAUUCUGAAUAGCCACUAAAUUCGGAAACUAAUACCCUAUUUGGAUUUGUAAGUCUGUAAACGUAAAUACGCACCGGUUAUCUUCCCCAUUGACUGCAAAAUGAGUCCUCAAGCCUCCAUCUUUUUC
rnacentral:lncRNA from 1 species